UACGGAGGGUGCAAGCGUUGUCCGGAAUUAUUGGGCGUAAAGAGCUUGUAGGCGGUUUGUCGCGUCUGCUGUGAAAUUUCGGGGCUCAACCCCGAACUUGCAGUGGGUACGGGCAGACUAGAGUGUGGUAGGGGAGACUGGAAUUCCUGGUGUAGCGGUGAAAUGCGCAGAUAUCAGGAGGAACACCGAUGGCGAAGGCAGGUCUCUGGGCCAUAACUGACGCUGAGAAGCGAAAGCAUGGGGAGCGAACAGG
rnacentral:rRNA from 1 species